UAGUCAAUUGUCCAUACUUAUAUUGUAUUUUUUAACCAGGUGAUAAUUGCGUUCAAAUCUGAAUAACGAUUUCAAAAACAAUUAACACUUUCGCGCUUAGGUGAAAGAAAAUUCAUAUAUUCAAACUUAUUGACGAAUUAUAAUAUGAACGUCAGAAUUUUAACCAGCACAAAAGCUAACGCACGGCACUGUUUAUACAUCGACAGUAAAAAAAAAUUUCAUGCGUAUCUACCUAAACCUAUCGGAUAGUAAACGAAAGCAAAUAAUUAAGUACCAAAGUAAUUGUUGAACGCAUUCAUUUUACUUCAUUUUAAUAUGGUAUUUAUUAUUUUACAGCAACAUACUCGUACAUUAAAAGCAAACAAAAAUAAAAACGAGCCUUGGAACAUAUUUUCAUUUUUACAAACCGUUUGUGAGUACUUUAACAGCAUAAAGCGACUAAAACUACUACGGAAUGAACCACGCAUAACCGAUGUGUUAUACUAAGUUACAUUUAAGUUAAUUAAAAAAUAAUAAUAAUAGUAAUAAUAACAUUAACUGAUAAAUGAGAUUCAAUUCCUUUCAAAAUAGAUAAGCUUAACAAGGGUUAUAUGUAAGUAUGUAUAAAAGAUAAGCAUAUUUGACUUCAAGUAUAAAAUUAAUGUCUUUUAUAGUGUUUAAUCUUCGAUAAGAAUUGGUUCACAACAUUUUUUAUCUAAUGUUGUGGUAGCCGCAUUGUCAGCGUCUUUUACAACAUUGCCAUCAGUAGCCAACUGCACGACUUUGGACUCCGAUGAUGCGCUAUUUUCUACUGGCUUUGCACAACGCACAACAAUCUUUUCAUGCUAAGUACAAAUAAAUAAAAUAAUUAAUAUGUAAUUAAUAGCUAAAAUACACAAUGCUACCAACCUUCUUA